rnacentral:rRNA from 1 species
GCCGGAGGGAAACCGAGUCUUAAUUGGGCGUUAAGUUGCAGGGUAUAGACCCGAAACCCGGUGAUCUAGCCAUGGGCAGGUUGAAGGUUGGGUAACACUAACUGGAGGACCGAACCGACUAAUGUUGAAAAAUUAGCGGAUGACCUGUGGCUGGGGGUGAAAGGCCAAUCAAACCGGGAGAUAGCUGGUUCUCCCCGAAAGCUAUUUAGGUAGCGCCUCGUGAAUUCAUCUCCGGGGGUAGAGCACUGUUUCGGCUAGGGGGCCAUCCCGGCUUACCAACCCGAUGCAAACUGCGAAUACCGGAGAAUGUUAUCACGGGAGACACACGGCGGGUGCUAACGUCCGUCGUGAAGAGGGAAACAACCCAGACCGCCAGCUAAGGUCCCAAAGUCAUGGUUAAGUGGGAAACGAUGUGGGAAGGCCCAGACAGCCAGGAUGUUGGCUUAGAAGCAGCCAUCAUUUAAAGAAAGCGUAAUAGCUCACUGGUCGAGUCGGCCUGCGCGGAAGAUGUAACGGGGCUAAACCAUGCACCGAAGCUGCGGCAGCGACACUGUGUGUUGUUGGGUAGGGGAGCGUUCUGUAAGCCUGUGAAGGUGUGUCGUGAGGCAUGCUGGAGGUAUCAGAAGUGCGAAUGCUGACAUAAGUAACGAUAAAGCGGGUGAAAAGCCCGCUCGCCGGAAGACCAAGGGUUCCUGUCCAACGUUAAUCGGGGCAGGGUGAGUCGACCCCUAAGGCGAGGCCGAAAGGCGUAGUCGAUGGGAAACGGGUUAAUAUUCCCGUACUUGGUGUUACUGCGAAGGGGGGACGGAGAAGGCUAUGUUGGCCGGGCGACGGUUGUCCCGGUUUAAGCGUGUAGGUGUGUGUUCCAGGUAAAUCCGGUUCACUUUAACACUGAGGCGUGACGACGAGGCACUACGGUGCUGAAGCAACAAAUGCCCUGCUUCCAGGAAAAGCCUCUAAGCAUCAGGUAACAUCAAAUCGUACCCCAAACCGACACAGGUGGUCAGGUAGAGAAUACCAAGGCGCUUGAGAGAACUCGGGUGAAGGAACUAGGCAAAAUGGUGCCGUAACUUCGGGAGAAGGCACGCUGACACGUAGGUGAAGUGAUUUACUCAUGGAGCUGAAGUCAGUCGAAGAUACCAGCUGGCUGCAACUGUUUAUUAAAAACACAGCACUGUGCAAACACGAAAGUGGACGUAUACGGUGUGACGCCUGCCCGGUGCCGGAAGGUUAAUUGAUGGGGUCAGCGCAAGCGAAGCUCCUGAUCGAAGCCCCGGUAAACGGCGGCCGUAACUAUAACGGUCCUAAGGUAGCGAAAUUCCUUGUCGGGUAAGUUCCGACCUGCACGAAUGGCGUAAUGAUGGCCAGGCUGUCUCCACCCGAGACUCAGUGAAAUUGAACUCGCUGUGAAGAUGCAGUGUACCCGCGGCAAGACGGAAAGACCCCGUGAACCUUUACUAUAGCUUGACACUGAACAUUGAGCCUUGAUGUGUAGGAUAGGUGGGAGGCUUUGAAGUGUGGACGCCAGUCUGCAUGGAGCCGACCUUGAAAUACCACCCUUUAAUGUUUGAUGUUCUAACGUGGACCCGUUACCCGGGUUGCGGACAGUGUCUGGUGGGUAGUUUGACUGGGGCGGUCUCCUCCUAAAGAGUAACGGAGGAGCACGAAGGUUGGCUAAUCCUGGUCGGACAUCAGGAGGUUAGUGCAAUGGCAUAAGCCAGCUUGACUGCGAGCGUGACGGCGCGAGCAGGUGCGAAAGCAGGUCAUAGUGAUCCGGUGGUUCUGAAUGGAAGGGCCAUCGCUCAACGGAUAAAAGGUACUCCGGGGAUAACAGGCUGAUACCGCCCAAGAGUUCAUAUCGACGGCGGUGUUUGGCACCUCGAUGUCGGCUCAUCACAUCCUGGGGCUGAAGUAGGUCCCAAGGGUAUGGCUGUUCGCCAUUUAAAGUGGUACGCGAGCUGGGUUUAGAACGUCGUGAGACAGUUCGGUCCCUAUCUGCCGUGGGCGCUGGAGAACUGAGGGGGGCUGCUCCUAGUACGAGAGGACCGGAGUGGACGCAUCACUGGUGUUCGGGUUGUCAUGCCAAUGGCACUGCCCGGUAGCUAAAUGCGGAAGAGAUAAGUGCUGAAAGCAUCUAAGCACGAAACUUGCCCCGAG